rnacentral:rRNA from 1 species
ANNGCGNCUAUNAUGCAGUCGAGCGGACAGAUGGGAGCUUGCUCCCUGAUGUUAGCGGCGGACGGGUGAUUAACACGUGGGUAACCUGCCUGUAAGACUGGGAUAACUCCGGGAAACCGGGGCUAAUACCGGAUGGUUGUUUGAACCGCAUGGUUCAAACAUAAAAGGUGGCUUCGGCUACCACUUACAGAUGGACCCGCGGCGCAUUAGCUAGUUGGUGAGGUAACGGCUCACCAAGGCAACGAUGCGUAGCCGACCUGAGAGGGUGAUCGGCCACACUGGGACUGAGACACGGCCCAGACUCCUACGGGAGGCAGCAGA